ensembl:lncRNA
GGAGAUGCGAUUUAUUAUUCAGGCUUUCUGCUAACCACAGAUUUAAAAUCCCUGGGUAUUUCUCAUCUCUGGUCCUUUCAGGGCUGUGUUUUUGAUGCUGCCAGUGAGGACUGCAGAGGAGGGAAGCCCUGAACAAGGCAUGUGGAGCCUCUCCUCCCCUCUCUGCAUGCUUCAUCAGCAGGAAUUAAUUACCAGCUCUCCAGGUCACACCAGCCAUCUGCCCCAUCAGCACUGGCCAAGACGCAAUGGAAGGGCAAGUAUGAGCUUUGGAUUUUUAACUGGAGCUGGGAGAAGGAGAAAAAAGGAAUGGUUUUGCUGGUUGGCUUGAGUAUGGCCAUGGGUCUGUAGAUCCCGAAGGCUGAUUGCUGACCAUGUAUGCUGCAGCUCAGCACAGAGUGUGCCAAUGGCUGUGACUUAUGUGACGACUGUCACCCAGCACAAGGAGCGAGCUGCCAAGCCAGGCCUUCUGUUUGGCAAAGCCCAACAACGCCGCUGAAUUAAAGACAUAAUUGGGGUUUUGGCAAAAUUGCAACACAGCUGCCCAAGGUCAUCUCCAGUGAAAGUAGCUGAGGAGGUUUACACAGAAGAUGUUAAUUGGAUUUUCGUUUUCUCUUUAGAAAGGUUCAGAGCUAUCGGAUCUCACCACACUACAUGCUGCAUGAAUAUGUCCAAUGAUAUUGUGAGCUGUGUUCAAUCUUAACGGCUUUCCAUCUCCGUAACAACGGUAUUAGCAUUAAUAUUGUGCCCAGGGCUCUGAGUGUGGGUACUAAUGGAGCUCAAUCAGCUCUAAAAGAACAAAGCAUCUCUUUUAUAUCGCACCCUGUGACAGUCAGAGGAUCGGAUUAGCAACUUGUCAAUCCUUUGUUUUGCAGCUUUUUUUUGAUGCUUUCUGAAAUUCUUGGAUAGUAAGUAGAAUUGUUUUAUCUGAAAAAUUAAUACAAAACAAUAAGUGAAAGCUAUGUGCUAUUCCCUCCUGACCUGAUUAUUGUAGAUUAUUUAACUAAGUAGCCAGCAUACUCCCUAAUUUAAGUAAGUGCUGAAUUCCUGCAACACAAAACGCUAUCUUUUCUCAUAAAAUAAGCCCAAGAAAGAGCAAGCUCAAUUGCCAAUUAUGCUUCUUCCAUGAAAUCUCUUCUAUCCCCUUCAGGAUAGGUUCGGGUAAAAAUAUAAUUGCAGUGGAUAAGGAAGCUUAAGAAAAGACAUAAGUGAAAAAACGUUAUGUGUUGGCAUCUGAUUGAUCCAUUUGAAAGGAAGAGAAGGAGAAUUUGAUGAGAUGGUAAGGAGCUCGUAGUUUGUUUCGAAGGAACCCAGCA